rnacentral:piRNA from 1 species
GUAUAGGGAAAUUCACUACGGCUU